UUAAUAUAAUUUCCGCGUUUAUAUGAUGUUUUAGAAAGUGAAUUUAAUUGAAUUAUAAUAAAUAUUCGCAAUGUGACAUUCAUAAUAAAGUGAAGAACAAUGGAGCAAGUGUUUUCUGUUGCUGACAAACUGUCAAAAGUGAUCAGAAAUAUGCAAAAAUGUUUACAAUGCACAAUUUGUCUACAAACAAUAUCAGAUCCGGUAAAAACAUUUUGCGGACAUCGAUUCUGUCGUGUAUGUAUUCAAACAGUGAUACAAAAUAAAAAUGCGCUCUGUCCACUGUGUAAUUGUGCCAUACAGCGUCGCAAUAUUUCAAAAGAUGAGAACAUGGCGCUAUAUAUCAAACAAUUACAGAAUAUAAUUGAAGCAAUUCAGUUAGAUUCAGGCAUCGAUAUAGUGACUCAUUUAUCAGUAUUAAACACGUGCGAGACCUCAUCGAACAACACAGAGUUCUGUUCCAAAUCCAACACCGAGGAUGUGACAAAACCAAGCUGCUCUUACACGAACGAGACUCGUCAAAAGAUACAACCAGCCGGCAACAAUAAUGGAAAAGGCAGAAGCAAAAAGGGGCGAAGAAAGUCCACGCAGAAGAAGAAAAUCAUGGUUAAGGAAAGCAACAGCAUGACGAGAUACUUGUCGAAAUGCGGCCUCUCCGGCAUAGAACCGUUGGAGGCGUCGAACGAGAAUUACUCGGGCGAGAAAUCGUUAAAGGAUAAAGUGUGCAGCUGGCUGGAUACUUUGCCGGGGAACGAGAAUUUGGUCGAUUUUGACGUAGUCACAAAAGUGGAGCACGUGGAUUCCGAUCUGGACGAUACACUGACCAUGUCGGUUUCCGAUGCCCAGAGCAACAGGAUAAGAGACACGAACGUGGAUGCCGAGCUCGUCCUCGAACCAUCGAUGUGCAAUAAAAGUGAUACCAAUCGAUCGACGUGCAAAGAGAUUCCGGAGAGUUUCUCGAACAAGAACGAGAGCAACGAGAAUGAUAAAAAGUCUAGAAUAAACGUGGGAAAUUACUCGUCGAAGACGGGCUUCCAGCCAGACGAUACCAAGUCUAAAACUGUUAAAUCGAGCGAGGAUGACAAGGGGAAGAGCGAGGAAAAAUUCAUCGAGGUCCAGAGAACGUCUCCUUGCGACAUGUUGUCCGCUAUGCAGAGGAACUGGUCCUCGGUGGCCAAGUUCGGCAAGGAGAUGCGCGCAAAGAGGAAGAGAUUGAAGUCUUUGGACGUGAGUAUCGAGAACAGAGGGAAACGUCGAUCGAUGGACGAGGCGGGCGAGGUGGACGAAGAGAAGGUCGGAUCGUUCGGUCGGACAGGAGGGGCGAGCGACAGGCGAGGAGGGAGUAAGUGCGAAAAAUCGAAUGAGGAUGGAAAUGUUGACGGGGCUAUCGUGGAUGAGGAAUUCCUCGAAUGCGAGAAAAGUUUGGGAACUCGUCGCGAUGAGAGAGAGGACAGAGAAAGAUCGAUAUCGGCGGAAGUUCAGCCGUCCGGCGAAUCGUCCUUCGUCACGUUGGAGAAGGAUGGCAAGAUACGCAUCCGGAAUUUGAACAGCUGUCAGAUGAAAGCGAUCAUCGGUGUCUCGGAUGAGAAUCGUCGAAUUGAGGAGGACAACAGAGAGGAGGAGGGAGAAGAGGAAACGGAGAGACAGAUGGAGGUGUUCAACACGCCUAUUCACGAUCGUUCAAAGAUAUUUUCCCAAAUGACACCGGAAGGAUCACACGAUGACCAAGAUCGAGCGAAUCUGGUUGACGAAUCGGUUAACGAGCGAAGCUUACCGACAAAAGGCCGAAUGGACGAGGAACAUCGUUCCACGCCGUCGAAAUAUCAAAUCUCCACGCCUAGCCGUAAGAGGUUGUCGUUGAGAAGACAGAGCGAGGAUUCGAAAUCGAAUAACACCUCGAACUCGGACGUUGGCUCGCGAUUGAACGCCGUCAGGCGAGACUUGAAUCGUCAGAUUGACAAAGAAGAAGGAAAUGUUGAUGUAGGUAAGGGGAACGUGGACGGAAUAAUCGGAACAGGGAAACGUAAAACCACGGGUGAUGAACGAGAGAGAAAUUUAACAUCGAAUGAUUACGCGGGCAGAAGGGUGGGGGAUAAGAAGCGUAAUGCGUCCCUGGUCACGUUUAAGAAGCUGGGGAAAUUUUACAAACGAGGCAACGAGGGGAGGAUAAAGAAACGCGUCCCGUUCUUUUAUUUGAGCGCAACCGGGAAGGAAACGAGUUAUUAUCCCGGUUUGCACACGCAUAAAUCGUGUAAUUUCGUUGCCAUGUGUAACGUGAAGCUUGAAGAAGGGAUUGACAAGAGUGGAACAAGUAUAGUAUCGAUAACAGAUAAUAGCAGCAACGUUAAAAAUGUCGAAGCCGCGAAGGAACCGAUAAAAUCGAAGGUGAAAGUGGAGCAUCAAAUUGUAUCCGAAAACCAGGAAGAUGUGGCUGCCGGACGAAUUUCGUGCGAGGAAAUUAUGCCUCGUCCAAUCGGCAACGCGAAUAAAUCUUACGACGUGGACGUGCUCUUGAUAUCCUCGGACGAUGAACCAUCGAUCACGCCUCCAAUUCCUAAAACCGAUUCGUCGUGCAAGGACACAGUGAAAAUAUCAUCGCCGUCGUCGAAAGAUCGUUCCCUGCCACGAUUCCUCUCUUCGUCCCCUCCGAUAGACACUCUUCAAACCCAAAAACUGAACGAUCCCGAGCCCGAACCAGCGAGGAGCAAAGGAAAGAAACCGCACUCUUUCGCGUGUAUUUCGCCGCAAUGCAAUUCCUGUUGCGCGCCGAUCGCGAAAUGUUCGAGCGGGAAUCAGAGGGCACUUUUCCACGAGGGGACGAAAAAAAAUUCGGAGAACGAGGGCGAGAAUGAUGAUUCGAAUCACAGUCUGUCGUCCCAGACCACGUGUAUCAGAACUACGACGCCCGAGGUGAAAAAUUUAUCGAGGAAAAGUAAUUUGAACGAGAAGAAACGAUCGCCGAAUCCGAGCAGCAGGGAAACCGAGGUUAUUCAAACAGGGCAGAAUUCGGAUCAGGACGCGGCGAAAACUUGCAAGAAGGAGAUACGAGAAAAGGUGUACAACAGGAUCGUGUUGUUGGAUAGUUCGGAAUCCGAAUCUAUGGACUUCGUUCUCUUGGAGGACGGUAACGAUCGUUCUGAUGCUUCUCCGAAAACCGAAAAGAGAAAACGUACCGCCUCCUUCGAUUCGGUCGACGAAACAGACUUGAACGCGAUUGUGAGCAAUUGGUGCAACGAUGGAAUUCUCGACGAGAGGUGUAAGAAGAAAGGGAAAUUGGAACGAGUUCGCGAUACUCUUGAUUCGAGCACGUCUAGGGACAAUUUUUCCACGAAAUCUUUGGACCUGGUGGUUGGCAAAUUUGGAAAGGAGAAAUCGAAUUCCAAUUGGACGAAGAACUUGGAGGACAGGAUGGCGCCAGUUGUCGACGAGGAUUCCCCUGAUUUUUGCGCGGUAAUAGACAAAGUGCAGAAUGUACGGAAGGGAACGAUGAUAUUUAAGGAGAACCAACAACGAGAGAACGCGAAGACCGCGGACAAUUUGAUGCAUGAUAACUUCGACGAUAUCAUUGCGAAUGUGAACACAGCAGAUCUGAUCACCGAUUCUGAUGAUGGAAAGGGGAACAAAUCUAGAAGGGAAGAAUAUACGGAGGGAAAGAAUGAUUGUGAGAGAAAAUCUAAACACGUAAAAUCGUAUAGCGAAAAAAUUCGAUCAUGGAACAAGGAAAUUCCACAUAAAUAUUCCAACGGUUCUGAUAAAGAAAACAGGAACAAAAUGGACGUGUCUGGGAGUGACAAUGGUGAUGAUGAAGAUCUAGUAUGUGUAAAUGUGAGUAAUAAGAAUUGGAGGAGGGAUAGAUUUCAGGAAGAAAUGAGAGUCGAAUCGUGUAGUAAAGAAUCGAGAACAUUGAUAGAGAAUCCAAUGUCUUCGUCUGAUAAGAAAUUCCAAAUGAAUAACAGUGCGAAUAGUUCGAUAGUUAAAGAUAUGCACGAUUAUGAUUCUUUGAUGGCCAUCACGCAAGAUGAUUUGAUGAUUAAACAAUUCGAGGAAGAUCUGUUUGGUAAACCUUCUAAGCAUUCUAAUGAUACUUUAAAUAAGGAACAGAGAACUCCAAAAAGUCUAAAGAAGAAUAAAGAAUAUUCAAGACAGAAUGAAAAGAAUAUCCAGGACGUUGAACACUCGGAUGAAGAAGACGACAUUGUUGAGAACACUCCUAAAGCAAAGAGGAAAAAAUUAGAAGCAAUAAAUUCGCCGAGGGAGAGUUUGCCAUCGAUCUCGAAGACCAUCGAAAAGUCAGCCUACGUCAGAACACCAUCAUCGAUCAUGACCAUUGGAAGCAACCUGGCUAGCACUCCAGGCUCGACGACCAAUAUCCAACCACUCCAUCAAAGCACCCCUAAAACGCAGCAAUUCAAAAAUAUAAUCGGUAUCGCAAAGCGAAUUUCUGUCAUGAACGAACAGUCCAACAAACAGAACAUUGUUCAGAGAAUCGGUAGUCAGAAGAGUGCUUCUCAGAGAAGCAACGUUCAGAAUAUCGUUCAAAAAGGUAUCGAGCAGAGGAUCAAUAUCCAGAGAAGCGAUCUUCAAAACACUAUUCAAAGGAGCGAUCAGAGGAACAGUGACCAAGAAAGUAACGUUCAAAACACUAGUCAAAGGAACAAGGAUCAAAGAGGCAUCGAUCAGAGAAGCAUUGUUCAAAACGAAAUCGUUGAAAGGAACAAUAUUUCCUCUCAGAAGACAAUUGUUCGGAAUACGCAGAAACUCUGUUUCGUAUGCAGCGGUCUGGUAUCGUCCGAAACAGAGCAAGUGAAGAUGUUGACGCAAAAAGUGAACGCGAAAUACAGAACGCAAUUUGAUCACGAGGUGACACACGUGAUAGUGAAAACGGACAAAGACAAUAGCGCUAACAAGACACUGAAAUAUCUGCAGGGAGUAGCCCAUAAAAAAUGGAUCGUGGGCUUCGAUUGGGUGAUCAAUUCGUUGAAAGAGAAUAGGUUGGUGAACGAGGAACCGUACGAGGUUGUAGACUCCAGAACUCUCGAGGCUGGCCCUCGAAGGUCACGGCUCAGGGAGGAGGAUCUAUUCACCGGAUUCGUGUUUUUCUGCAAUGGACCUUAUGAUAAUGUUUCCGUAGAACAAUAUCAGGACAUGUUACGCGCUACUGGUGCCAUUGUGGUCCAGUCUCUAUCCGCUCUAGCCGCUGAAAAAAGUCGGUUGAGGAUCAUCAUGAUCCAGGCCGAUAUGUAUGAGUACGAAAUUAUAAAAUGGUAUAGAAUGGUUCAUGCCAUAUCAAUCGUCCACGAAUGGGUAGUCGAGUGUAUCAGUCAAUACAAACUGAUAUCAUUCUAUCCAUAUCUACAGGAAUUAUCGCGACAAGAUGUACUCGCACUUGGUUAUCCAGAAUAUCUUCUCGAAGAAGAGGUUGACGAGGACUCUGAUAACUCAUGUGAUGUGUCAAUGUGAUAUUCGAAUCAGGUUCAUUUAAUUUUAAUGUAAUUUCACGCUGAUUCUUAUCUGCUUUCGUGUCCAAUUUACAUCAGUGCCAAAUCUUUCUAAUCAAAAUAAUAAAAUUGGAUAAGGAAGGAACGAAAUUCAAGGAACGAAACGUCUUCUCCUGAGAUACGAUUUUAAAAAUGAUUUAUCAAUUUAUCAGCAAUGGAUUAGCAUAGAAAAUAAUUUAUUUUAUUAUUUACUCGUUGUGUGACUUGCAAAACGAAAACGAUAUCCAUUAUGUAUGAAGAAUUAUGGAGAAGGCAAAUGAGAUUCUUUUAAUCUUCAAAUUGAACAUUAACGACGAAUUUACCAAUAACUCGAGCAAAUCGAGUUACUCGACCGCAUUUCCGAUUUGAGUUUAAUGGCCCUACAAAUCUGAUGAUGGACGACACAACAAAAAAAUUUAAUGCAUCUUUCGAUGCGUUAUAAAUUUCAAUGCGAUGUAAUCUAAAUCUAAAUGUACAUCUCUUUGGAAAAUAAAGGGAGAAAUCGUUCGUGGAGGAUUUUUUUGUGUGUAGUGAAAAAUAAUCGAGACGCUUAAAUGCAGAGAUCCUGCAUAUUGGCGUAGAAUAAGAAAUAUAAUUGUUUUGCAAUUAUUAGAGUGAAAAUAAAUUACGAAUAAUUGUCUAGAGGAAAAGGAGAACAACAAGAAAUACAAUGCUGCUGGAAGAUCGUACGAGAUUAAGUAUUGAAAAAAAUUGAUAAAUGAAUCAAUGUGUUAUCAAAAAUUCCCUAUCUUUCCUCCUAAAUUAAUAAUAAUAAUCCAAAUUACUAAAAAUACAACUACAAAAGCAAGGAGUGCAAAGUUCUUUCGCGAAUCGAAUUACACCGAUUUCGCCGCGAAGGAACGAGGAAUAGUCAACACCCUAAUUGGGAACCUUUUUCGUAAUUGGGAAAUCCUCCCUCUCGCGAGUUUGGAUCCAUCACUCUGGUUGAGCAGGAAGGAACAAUCCUCGUGUGACAAUCCUCGUUUCCGUCGGCGGAAGUUUGGGAAAACGGGGGGAGGGGGUUGUCCAAACCGCCGGAAUUCGAGCUGUAAAUAUAGUUUCGUGGGAGUGAGGGGACGCGAACGAGGCAGAAAUUCGAUUUUGCCUCGCGGAAUCUGCGGUCCGCAGAGGUGUUCCGCAGGAACGUAACGACGACAAAGCGUGGAAACCACGCGUGCCAUCUCGGCAAUCCGGCUGUCCUAACUAGGAGGCCGAUAAAUGGACGGCUUGAUAACAGUAAUUUAUGAGAGGACGACGAGAGGAGGUCGGCUUAAUUAAUCUUUUGGGCUUGGUUAACUGUAGAUUUGCUCGUAUGACGACCAUUACAAGGGAAAAACGUCAAUUCUUAGAAGGAAUAUAAAAUGAAAAUAUAAAAACAUUCGUAAAAAAACAAAUUAAUAGAAUCGUGGAUGAGUGUAUUGAGGAGAUGAAAAUGAAGAAAGAAGAGAAUGUAAAGAAUUUCAGGAAAUACAUAUUAUGGUGAAUCAGAGGAUUCAAAGUUAAUUUAUAAUGACAGGAAGUUUGGUAUUUGACUAUUUGCAUAAAUUCCACGAAUUCAAUCCUGCUAGCGUGGAUACUGCAGUGGAAACGUUCGUUGUAGAAAUGAUCGUUUACAAUCGAGAUUUACAAUCGUUUGAAAACUUUUUCAUUAAUUUGCAACAUAGUAAACCUUUAUACAAGAAAUAUUAUUGAUACUGUAUAAUCGUUGCAGAAUUAAUAUCGAUUCAUGGGAAAGUUGUUCUCGAAAGGAUUUCGAGUUUCUGUAAUUUUGGUGAUUGAAAACACGUUUGAUGCAUAGAAUGGUUAUUGGUAGUGAUGAGUCUUUUGACAUGGUAUAAAUUCAUUGGAAAUUUCGUACGAAUAAAUUGUACACUACUAGUAUAUUGGUAUUGAAGAGAAAUAUUGAAAAUUCGGUUAUCGACAUUGUUUGAUCGUUGUAAAAUAUUGUUUUAUGUUUCUGGAACAAUAAAGUAUUCAA